AAAUGCAAACAUAAUGGAAGCUUGAAACUCUAGUCACCUGUUGCAAAAAUAAGUCGUCUACACAUUGCUUCGCUGUUGUCUCAGGCUGAUUUUCUGCAAAGCAUUACCUACCAGUAUUAUGAACUCCUCAUUCAAGUCAGCACCCCUCCAAACUUAAUGCCUCAUUAGUGGUCCACAGUGGCGAGUGGCGCCUGCAAACGCAAGAGCAACAUGG